AGAGCUGUAGCUCAAUGGUAGAGCAUCUGCUCUGCAUUCAGACAGUCCCAGGUUUGAUCCCCAGUAUCUCCA